rnacentral:rRNA from 1 species
AUUGAACGCUGGCGGAAUGCUUUACACAUGCAAGUCGAACGGCAGCACGGGGGCAACCCUGGUGGCGAGUGGCGAACGGGUGAGUAAUACAUCGGAACGUGCCCAGUCGUGGGGGAUAACGUAGCGAAAGUUACGCUAAUACCGCAUACGAUCUACGGAUGAAAGCGGGGGACCGUAAGGCCUCGCGCGAUUGGAGCGGCCGAUGUCAGAUUAGGUAGUUGGUGAGGUAAAGGCCCACCAAGCUGACGAUCUGUAGCUGGUCUGAGAGGACGACCAGCCACACUGGGACUGAGACACGGCCCAGACUCCUACGGGAGGCAGCAGUGGGGAAUUUUGGACAAUGGGCGCAAGCCUGAUCCAGCCAUUCCGCGUGCAGGACGAAGGCCUUCGGGUUGUAAACUGCUUUUGUACGGAACGAAAAGGCUCUGGUUAAUACCUGGGGCUCAUGACGGUACCGUAAGAAUAAGCACCGGCUAACUACGUGCCAGCAGCCGCGGUAA